rnacentral:rRNA from 1 species
UGGGGAAUAUUGCACAAUGGGCGCAAGCCUGAUGCAGCCAUGCCGCGUGUAUGAAGAAGGCCUUCGGGUUGUAAAGUACUUUCAGCGGGGAGGAAGGGAGUAAAGUUAAUACCUUUGCUCAUUGACGUUACCCGCAGAAGAAGCACCGGCUAACUCCGUGCCAGCAGCCGCGGUAAUACGGAGGGUGCAAGCGUUAAUCGGAAUUACUGGGCGUAAAGCGCACGCAGGCGGUUUGUUAAGUCAGAUGUGAAAUCCCCGGGCUUAACACGGGAAUUGCAUCUGAUACUGGUCAGCUAGAGUCUUGUAGAGGGGGGUAGAAUUCCAUGUGUGGCGGUGAGAUGCGUAGAGAUGUAGAGGAAUACCGAUGGCGAAGGCGGCCCCCUGGACAAAGACUGACGCUCAGGUGCGAAAGCGUGGGGAGCAAACAGG